UACGAAGGGUGCAAGCGUUACUCGGAAUUACUGGGCGUAAAGCGUGCGUAGGCGGUUCGUUAAGUCCGAUGUGAAAGCCCUGGGCUCAACCUGGGAACUGCAUUGGAAACUGGCGGGCUGGAGUGCGGUAGAGGGUGGCGGAAUUCCCGGUGUAGCAGUGAAAUGCGUAGAUAUCGGGAGGAACACCCGUGGCGAAGGCGGCCACCUGGACCAGCACUGACGCUGAGGCACGAAAGCGUGGGGAG
rnacentral:rRNA from 1 species